UCAGUGGAUUAUUAGGAGUUUGAGUGAAUAAGUAUUGAGCUUGAACGCUUUCUUAAUUGAUGACUGCUUUUAGGCCAACUAUGGUGAUGAAAUAUUUUACUCUCUAUAGUAAGGUUUUUUCCUAGGGUCUAAAGAGCUGUCCCUCUUUAGACUAACAAUUAAAUUCACGAGGGGAUUAAAUGGUUCUGUAAGUAAAUUUAAGGUUGAACUAAGAUUCUGUCUUGGACAACCAGCUAUCACCAGGCUCGGUAGGUUUGUCGCCACUACCCAUAGAUUUUCCCACUAUUUUGCUACAUAGACGGGUGCGCUCUUUUAGCUAUCUUUGGGUAGCUCGUCUGGUUUCGGGGAGCUCUGUUUAAAUUCUCUAUAUAAAGCUAUUUCUAGUUAAUUCAUUAUGCAGAAGGUAUAAGGGUUUGUCUUUGCUUUUUUAUGCUUUAUUGGGGUUUUGUCUUUCCCUUAUGGUACAUAUCUAUUGCGCCUGGGCAUAAUUUCUAUCACCUAUACUUUUAUAGUAGGUAAAUGAUUUAGUUGUUGAAUUUAGAUAGUAUAAAUAAGUGGGGAUUCGGGCUAGGGUUAGCUCAAAGUGAUCAAUUAUUGUGAGAUCUUCCGGGUGUAGGCUGGAUGCUUUAAUUUAAGCUACACUUUGAUUCAUCCAAGCGCACUUUCCAGUACGCUUACCAUGUUACGACUUAUCCCCUCUACAUCAAUAUGUAGUGGCUUAUUGUUAAUAUACAUUUAUAUGAUGGUUGAGGAGGGUGACGGGCGGUGUGUGCGUGCUUAAUGGCCUUGCUUCAAUCAAGCUCUCUAUUCUUGAUUUACUGCUAAAUCCACCUUGGGCCUUUAAAUUUCAUAAAGGCUAUCAUGUAAUUUUUCUAGCUUAGAAUAUGUAGCCCAUUUCUUCCCACUUCAUUGGCUGCACCUUGACCUAACGUUUUUAUGGUGAUACUUUUGCUUACUUUAUGAUCUUUAGGGAGUUUGCUGAAGAUGGCGGUAUACAGGCUGAGGGCAAGAGGUGGUAAGGUUUAUCGGGGUAUAUCGAUUACAGAACAGACUCCUCUAGACGGAUGUAAAGCACCACCAGGUCCUUUGAGUUUCAAGCUAUUGCUGGUAGUGUUCUGGUGAAUAAUUUUGUUAAUUACAUUAUUCCCCAGUA